AGAGGAGGAAGAAGAGGUGAUGAAGCAGAUACUGGAUACUACCUGGAAAAUACCUGGAAAACACCUGGAUACUACCUGGAUAAUAUAUUGAUGCAUCUUGUCUGUUUUCUGCUCCUGACUCAUUUUAACUCACAUGGUUCAUUUUUAAUCUGAAGUCCUGCAGCUCCGUGGAACCAGAACAUCAUAGUCGAGAGGUUCAGUGACUUUAGACUUCAUGAUGCAAAGGUCCCUUUGGUAUGGAAGUACUUUAGGGCCAUAGAAAUAAAUGUAUCUUAAGACACAAGUGAGAUCACACUUUGGUAAGCGUUUUUAAAAUGGCACAACUCAGAAGCUGUCAGCUCUCUCAUAACGUCUAAAACUAAAUGAGAAGCCACAAAGGCAGCCAUCAUGACUGAGAGACAGGUAGAGAAAAAAACUGAAGAUCUCCAAGACAGCCGUUCAUUACACCAAGAAAAAUCAAGCCCAACAUGGUUCUACUAAACUGCUAGCUGGUCAGGAAAUGUUAUCACCAGAUGACCGUCACUCAUCCAUUCCUGUCAGGAAUUGUACUUAGACCCCCAGGAACCUUAAAAAUGAGUGGACACUGUGGAGAAAUGGGACUUGUUCAGCAAGGACAGUUGGAAAGCGACUUGUUGAAGCUGGUCUGAAGUCACACAGGGCAGGAAGAACCCUUCAUCAAGGAAAGGCAGAGGAAAGCCUGGUUACUCUUUGCUGGGAUCACAAGGAUUAGACUGUUCAUGAUUGUUCUAAGGUUCUUUUCAGGGAUGAAUCCAGUUUUCAGUUGAUGUCCACUCCAGCCAAAUUACUGGUUAGGAGGAAGCCUGGAGAAGCUCCAAACCAGACUGUCUGCCCCUACAGUAAAACAUAGGGGUGGAUCAGUGACCAUCUGGGGUAGUUUCAGUCUGGGUGGAACAGGGCAAAUGAAUCAGGUCAUGUUUGGGGCUACUCUAGAAAACAGUCUUCUUCCAUCAGCUGGAAAACUCCUACCUCCAAUGACUGGAUUUUUCAACUAGACAAGCCAGGAAACAAACGGAUAAAACGUACCUUGUCCAAUUACUGCAACAGGAAUGAAUUGCUGUGAUGAGAAGAUGAUGGAGAGCAUGAAGAGACAUCAGGAACAAUGGUUAUGAAUCAGUACUAACUCCUGUGUGUAUCAUGGGACUAAAACAGACAGAAAAGAAAACAUGGAAUCAUAAAAGCUGUUUUUGGCAGAACAAUGACAUAGAUAUUUAUAUUAACUGUUAUUUGUAAUGUAUACUUGGGAACUGACUAUUUUUGCACUAUUUCUUAAUAUUUUCUUGCACUGAAAAGGAGAAGCUUUCCAAUUUCGUCAUGCACUGUACAAUGGCAAUAAAGCAUAUUCUAUUCUAUUCUAUUCUAUUCUAUUCUAUUCUAUUCUAUUCUAUUCUAUUCUAUAUUGAUGGAAAAACUGAAAUUAUUUUGGUGAUUAUCAAGAAAACCAUGGGAAAUGUCUGAUAUCAGCUCUGAAAUUACACGCUUAUGAGCUAUUUUUGUUGUUAUUUUUAUAUUUGUCCAAACAAAUAUACCUUGAGUUGUAGCAGGAAUUAAAAUGAACAAGAAAUUGA